GGUUCCCGGGUAUUGAUUUCAGCUGUGUCCCUUCCUCCCUUCCUGUUUCCUCCUCCUGGCACAGAGCAGACAGAUUUCUUUCAUCUGGGUGGCUGUUCAGAGAUGGAAACAGAAGAACCAGAAGUGGGCAGCUAUGCGCUGCUCUUGUCCUCAGCUCAGGAGUGGUCCUCGCUGAGAGUCAAAGGAUUGAAGAAUGCAGGAUGUGCAGGGAAGGAAGACAAACCCCAGCCAUGCAUAACUAGCCAGCCAUGGUGCCUCAUACCUGUCACUCCAGCACACUGAGACUGGUUGGAAUCAUAACUUCAAUAUUGUGAAUACUGCUACAGUAAACACCAAUGUGCUGACAUCUCUGUGUUUUGUUGGUCUGGAUUCUUUCAAUCAUCUCCUCGUGUGGGACAACUGUUAGCAGAUUCUCCAUGGCCUCUUCACUACCAAAGAAAGGGACUGGAUUCUCACAAAAGCAGCUAAAGCACUCCCUGGAAUCGUUCGAUAGCUGAUGAUGAGAGCCCAUUAAGUGACCCUGCUCUGCCAAGGUGGAGACCCCAGUGAGACUACAACACAGAGGAGGUAGUUCUAGUCCUGGUUUCCUUUGGUGAUGCAGAAGUAUUAACUGAAUAAAUGUUUUCCUUGUCGUUUGGUCAUGGUGUUUCAUCACAGCAACAGAAACCCUAACUAAGACAGUAACCUUCACCUGACAAGUUCCUGGUGGACAAGGAGCUACCCAUUCAGAGUUAUGGGAACUUCUAGGACCCUUACUAAUCAAACAAUGGAAGUACGGGGGAAAUAAGAUAUCAAAGAAUAUAAAUGAACCACCGAUUGGAUUAUUAACCCAGGGCAAAAAACUGUGACUCAUUCUUUUAUUGUCAUUCCUGAAUGCCCCUAACCCUUCAAUGGGACAGAACCUCUUGAACAAGUUCCAGACAACAAUAACAUUCUCAAGAGACACUCCUAGGUUGCAAUUGGGAGGUCGUGCUGAGGCUUUAACUAUAACCUGCCCAAUAAGUGAGAAAUAACUGCUCCUCUGAAAUCCAACUGUUCUAUUGGUGUGAAGAGACACCAUAACCACAGCAACUCUUAUAAAGGAAAACAUUAGUUGGGGAUGGCUUACAGUUCAUUAAUCCAUUCUCAUCAUGGUGGGUGGCAAUGGCAGCAUGCAGGCAGACAUGGUGCUGGAGAAGGAGCUGAGAGUUCUACAUCUUGAUCUGCACACUUCAGAAGCAACUGUGUAUCACAUUGAAUAUAGUCUGAGCAGAGGAGACCUCAAACCCCAUCCCCACAGUGACACACUUCCUCCAGCGAGGCGGCACCUACUCCAACAAAGCCACCCCCAAUGAGGGGCUAUUUUCUUUCAAGCCCUGGAAGUUCCUACAGUUUGGGCAGAGAACACUCUUCAUGGCUUGGCAAAACAUGUGCCACCUGUUAUAGUGCAACUAACAUCUGGGGAAAUGCCCAUUCAAGUCAAGCAGUACCCCACCAGUUUGGAAGCUAGGAAGGGGAUUAAGGCAUCCCCUUGAAGCAGGAAUACAUAUUCCUUGACAGUUAGUCUGGAAUACUCCCUUGUUGCAUGUCCAAAAGCCUGGACCUGUUAUAGACCAGCACAAGAGUUGGGGCAGUGGUGACACACACCUUUAAUUCCAGCACCCAGGAGGCAGAGCUUCAUGAGCUCUAGGCCAGCUUGGCCUACAUAAAGAGUUCCAGGACAGCUAAGGCUACACAGUGAAACCCUGUUUUGAGAAAAAAACUUUCAAAGCAUUUCACUGCCUUACCUGUGCCCAGGUGAGUACUUCCCUCAGGACAAUUUUGGGAAUUGGACUUCAUUGAACUUAAGCCACCACUGUAUAGCUACAAAUAUCUGCUGGUCUUUGUUGACACUGUCAUGGACAUGUCAUGACAUGGACUAUUUCCAUUCUUAGUGGAAAUAGUUCAAGUAGUAGCUAAGAAUUAAUAAUGGAGAUUAUUUCCAGAUUUGGCCUACCCAUAUCUAUGGUGUCCAUGCUCAGGAAAGAUAGAGGAUGGAUAGAACUUUAAAGGAGGUUUUAACUAAAUGUAUUCUUGAGACUGCAGUACAUGCUGGACUAUUAUCAGAUUGCCCCACUCCAAUUUCUGAGUCCUUAAAAGGAUUGCAAUUAACCUUGGAUAAGGUUUUUCCUCAGAUCCAUACUGCUCAACUGAUUGGCUACCACCGAACAGACCACCCAUUCCUGCCUGGAGAUGCUGUAUUAGAUCAGCACUUCAAAACUGGUGACUGGCUUGAACCCAAAUGGAAAGGACCUUACACUGUGAUUCUCCACAUGCCUACUGCCGUUGAAGUCACUGGUAUUCCUGCCUGGUUCAUUACUUGUACCCCGAGAAGGCACCCGAGGAACCCUUGGAAGAGGAGCCCAACCCCAGUGGUGGAAAGUGACUGAAAAUGGACCAUUAAAAAGCAAACUCUCUAACUGUCUAACAUAACUUUAAGCAUUGUGUUAUUGCUGUUGGAGUCGACAUUGUUACUGUCCUGUGGCUAACAUUUUUAUUUUUCAACCUAUGCAAACAGAACCGAAGUGUAUCUUGAUGGGGGCAAAUAAAAGGUUCCCUAUCAUAGGAAA